UACGUAGGCAGCAAGCGUUGUUCGGAGUUACUGGGCGUAAAGGGUGUGUAGGCGGUUGUUUUAAGUUUGGUGUGAAAUCUCCCGGCUCAACUGGGAGGGUGCGCCGAAUACUGAAUGACUAGAGUGCGGGAGAGGAAAGUGGAAUUCCUGGUGUAGCGGUGAAAUGCGUAGAUAUCAGGAGGAACACCGGUGGUGUAGACGGCUUUCUGGACCGUAAC
rnacentral:rRNA from 1 species